UCACUCACUCACUCACUCACUCAGACAAUGAUUUUAUCGCUGCACGUCACUACUGGUCGUCACGGUAACGUUCAUCCGUGGGUGGCACAGCAUCCAGCAUUCCACUUUUGACACAAAACAUUCUGGAGGGAGAGCGUUUGUGUAUAAAAUUCACCAGUGUAUACGUGCAUCACAUCCUACGAGACGAAGGAGAUGCGGUGCGAGCUCUUUGCCACUGCGGCCGUCUCUCUGCGGCGCAAGCGCGAGCGCCGGACCGUCUGGGUGCACGGAGAACAUUUCAGCCCGGCACGGUGGAUCACGGAUCACGUGCCGUCUCCGUCUUCACACCCAUUGGUAGUCGCUGCACCGAGUGGCUCGGAAUUAGCAUCAAGUUAACCUUAUGGACACGCCCACACCUGGUUGCUCAUGUCACCGGUUCUCACUGAAAACGAACGUCCUCCGGUCGCCGCGAGCUAUAGGUACGUGCGAACGUACCUAUUGCGUGUGUGGUACUUGACUCGCUGCAGUGGCUGAGCUGCAUUAUUGGAAGAUUUAACGCAAAUCCCACUUAGGAGGCGGUCUUUCACCGUUUAGUCGUCAUUCUGUCAUUUUCAGCUGUGUGUGAGCGGUGCCUUUUAUGGAGUUUUUAUGGGCGUCACUAAAUGCAAUCGAGUCAUUUACGGCAUAUGCACGCGAGAACAUCGUAGGAACAAGAAAAAUCAGCGUCACUGAACCGUGAAAAAUCUAGAGGGGAUUUUUAAUUCUGUUUAAGUUUGAGGAAAAACAUUUAGCUACUGAAACGCCUUCAACACUAAACGAUAAAUGAGGCCCACUGUUCCUAGAUUUUCGAGUAAGUCCCGAUUCACGGAACCAAGCAAGUAAGAGAUUUGAGGAAUCUUGAGUAAAAAUCCGAUUCCUCCGGAUCCACCGCGAUCCUGACCAGGAUGAAGGAAAACGGAUGAAUGAAAUGAAUCAGAUCAGCACGGUGAAGGAAUAUAACGCUUCUUUUAGCACGUUACGCCAUCACAUCGCGGAAGGGUCACAUGGUCGUCAAAACGUCUCGCAAUCCGUCAUUCCCGACUAAAAACGACUUGCUCACGAAGCAUGUUCCACCUCAACUAAAACGGCAAGGCCUGUCCCAGUUCAGCGGCGCGCGAGCGUGACGACUCUCGCCUUGACCGAGCCCCGUACCCAGCAUCCCACAGCUCACGCUAAAACUCACACCUCGGUAGGGAAUCAGCCGGGGAGAUGGAUGCAUACCAGAACAUCUACUUAUCAAAAAGAUCACUGACGCACGGUGAUCUAUUUCCACUCUGUUCACACAUCCGUCUUUACAAGUGCUCCCAAUCCGUUUCUUUUGGCCGACGCAGCAUUUCUCCGAUCUGCAGCGGUGGCGUCGGAGGCAGUGAGGUGCCGAGUCACAGAGAGUUACAAAUCACGAUUAAGGAGCGGUGUGUACUCUGGAUUUAGCAGAUUCAAGGAUAUCGAACGCUCAGGGAGGGAUGGGGAAGAAAAAAAGAGAGAGAGAAGGGAGCGAGCGUGAUGAAUUUCUCUGGUGAGACGUGACUUAACGUCGACUUCUUUAACAGAAAGAGGCUCGGGGGGGAAGCCGCCGUUAUGAAUAAAGCUUUCGAACAGCACGAAACUGCUUUAGUGAACCUCUCAAGGCCGAGCCGCUGCGUCGGUCUCUUCCCGUUCGCUUUUCUCUCAGCGCCCAGCUGGAUUUAUGUAAAUAAUAAUAAUCAUAAUAAUAAUAAUAAACGUAGCUGUGAGCUUGAAUGAAACGAUCUGUGUUCACCUAACCUUUGAUCACAGUUUAGGAAAUUACCACAAUUUCUAACAAUUUACUUAAUAAAAAAAAAAGAUUCCUUAUUUUAAAAUCACAACGUUCUGAACGUUCUCGACCCAUCCCGAUUGCUCUGAAGGUGCCGAUUCAUUUUCUAGAACGGCGGCUCGGACAGAAGUUCCAUCUGCGAAUCGCAGGUUUACAUUUAUCCGAUUGUCCAAUUAUGUUAGUGUUUCUAUAUAACAAUGUCCAAUUACGUUAGUGUUUCUAUAGUAACAAUGUCCAAUUACGUUAGUGUUUCUAUAGUAACAAUGUCCAAUUACGUUAGUGUUUCUAUAGUAACAACAGAUUAUAACAAUGUGAAAAUCUGCGACGGAGAGGCC
ensembl:lncRNA